AAUAUAUUCCCUAAUUUUAGUGAAGACUGAUUCAAAUUCCCCAUAUUUUGCUAAAAUAACUCAUUCAAAUCGAAAAGAUUUAUUCAAAUAUGCAGGAAAUCAUAAAUACUAAUGAGUUCCUCUUCUCUAUUUCCUCGAAACCAUAAAUACUUAUUCAAUAUGCUGCAGAAAGGGGAAAGACACAAUUGAUGAAUUCCCCUUUUGUAUUUCCUCGCAACCAAAGAUGCUCAAUAACCUUAAUCCCACAUCUAUUCUCAUUAAACUUUCUCUAAUCAGACUAUUAGGGUUUUUGUGAAUGUCACGGGCAUCAACAAGGCUUUCAUGCUUGCUAUACUCUGAUUCGUAAUCUGAUAUGCCUCUGUCAUUUGCCAAAUAUGACUCCUUCAGAUGCUCUCCACUCUUCGGUUCCAUCUACAUCAGCCCUCAUAUGCGCACAUAUGUCCAACAUAACGGUAAACCUCUUAUCUAUGAUGUCUUUUGACUAUCUUGACCUCCAUCAUAUGAACUUCAUCGAUUUUCAUCAUAAGGUCCUAAACCAUCCCCAAUCCAUCUUCUAAGAUCUAGAUCUUUCUUUUUCUCAUAUCUACAGAUCGCAGUCAAAGUGCACCCAUGGUUAUAGUCCUUUAAGCUUAAACCGGGAGAAAAGGUAUGCUUUCUCAAUUAUGACUUCCUAUUCUCCAUCGAUUUCUGAAGUAUGUGUUUUAUGCUCAGAUGUGUGAUUUCUUCUCUUUAAGAAUUGUUUAAUCAGUUCAACUUUUGCACAACGUGAUACUCAUGUUUGAUUUUGUUAGUUUACAAUAUGUUUGUUGGUUCAGGGUUUUCACAUUUUACCUUUUUCCAGCUUACCAAGGGUUGUGGAUAAACUUUACUUUUUGCUUAAAUUUUUAUGAGUUGGAUUUUUUAUCACCGAGAUGUUGGUUGUAUACUAAUUUUGAAAAUCUUUCUUCUAAUUUGGUUACAUGAUUUUUGAUCGCAAGUCAAUUGCAAGGGAAGAAGUCUUGGCCAUUUUGUUCUUUAUUUUGGCAGUCCAGUUAGAGAAAAUGUGGCAGACCAACAAGUCUUGUAGAAGACCAAAUAAGGCUAAUAUGGCUCUCUCUCUCUCUCUCUCUAGGUCUUUUGUGUGUAGGACCUGUUAAUAUGUGUCCUUAUGGGAUCAAAGUUGGUGGCAUGGUGCUUUCGAUAAAGUUUUGGGUUAUGUUCUAUUUUGAAUGCAAGUUUCACUCUGGAAUGGAUUUUGGGUAAACAAAUGAAUCUUUUUGUUAUUGUCCAACAAAACAUGGGAGUCUUAAAGUACGCUAAUGGGAAUAUUUUAGCUUUACCUACGCCCAGACCGUUUUUCUAUUUCUCCCUUUUUUGGUCUUCAAUAGUUAUCUGGUUGGAUAUUUUCACAUUUUGAUUAUAUUUUUCUUGUGGCUUUCUGUUUAGAGGGAUUAUUGUGUUAAAUUAAAUUCAUGGAUGGGAGGCAAUAGUGAUGCAGAAAUCAAGUCCAUGGAGAGGAUUAAAGUUGAAAAUUGUGAUGAUAUGCAAAUCAUUUGAGAGGGGAAAUUGUAUGUUAUCCCGGUAAGUGCACAUUUAGACUAUGGAUUUUGAUGGUUAUAUUCUUUUUUUUUAUUAUUAUUAACAUAUGUAAUGCAAUGUAGUGAUAUUUUUUUUCAGGUAAUAGCUUUGCUUAUGGAUAUCCAACAUCAAAUACUAGAGAACUGUGGAAUCAAUUUAAUGCAGCCCAUUGAUUUAUUAAUGCACAUGGGAUAUUUAAAUUUCCUUAUAUGUAUAGGAUCAUAGGAAAUUUCAUUAAGACAUGGCGGAAAGUGAAUUAUUUUGUGCAUGGUUUUUAUAUUCCUAAGUUAAUAUAUACAUACACGAUCCAUGUGGGUGUUAUUCAUAUCCUAAAUAUUCAUAAUUGUUAUAUUAUAUAUGUUUGAAAUCUUAUUUUUGUUAAAUACAAAAUUGUAACUUUUGUUUUUCAUCAAGAAGUUUACUUACUUUUGCAAUCUAUGUUUCACAAUAAAAUCUUAAAUUCCGGUCUCUACUAAAUUUAGAUGAGAAAUCCUAACUUUAAUUAACAUCACCUUAUUAUAUUAAUAACCACAAUUCAAUAUUUUGUACAAGUUUGCUAAAUUUGAAAGUAUUUUCAUAACAUCACCUUAUUAUGUUUCUAUAAAACCAUUUUCAUAAUUCUUUUAAUAUAUUUUUCUGGGUUAUGAUUUCUGAAUAUAUUGAUCUUAUCUUCAUUUUUUGCAGGAAUGCAUACAAAAUCGAGUGAUGGACAACUUUGGAAAUUUUUAUUAAAGGAUAAGCAGAUCUAUAAUUUGGUGUCUAUGUAUCAUGUCCAAAUAUUAUAUAAAAACUAAUACUUUUUUGUUUAUUAUAAUUUGGUUAUGUUUAAAGAAAAACAAUUAUAGCAUUGUAUUGUUGUGUAUAUGUCUGUAUUGAAUGGAUUGAGUCGUAUAUCUAUUUAGCGUUACUGAACAUUGAACAUAUAUCGAGGUGGGUUGAGUAUGAGAAUUUUAAUAUUGGCUUGAAUCGAGUUUUUAACACACACACACACUGUUUAUUUGAUGUAGUAAAAGUAAUCGCCUCUAGAAAUAAAUUUCCAAAAAAACUAUUUGCACCUGUCGUUUUGUGCGGGUAAACGGCUAGACGUUGUGAAACAAACACGCCCUAAAGAUAUUUGAAGUUUCUUAAAGCUAUGUUUAUCAACAAAAAAUAAGUCAAACCCAGUUUAGUAUUUGGGAUGUAUCACCGACUUAUACGCACUGUGUGAUUAUUAUGAAUUCGUUUUAGAGUAAGCUAUUCGCCACAAUGACAUUGAUGUGUUGUUGAAAGAAAACAGUCAUAGGCUAAANNNNNNNNNNNNNNNNNNNNNNNNNNNNNNNNNNNNNNNNNNNNNNNNNNNNNNNNNNNNAUAAAGAGGUGUCUCCGAUAUAUAUUAUUUGUCUAAAGAUACAACCACAUAAAAAUCACACAGGUCCAUAUGAACUACUUGGUUUUAUUACUAAUGAAUUUAGAAGUGAUCAGAGUCCGAAUGGUUUGUUAUCAGUUAUUUAAUUGGUUUGUCUAAAUUCAUUUUUUAAACAAAUUUGUUAUCAGUUAUUUAAUUGGUUUGUCUAAAUUCACAAAAUGGAAUGGAACAAUGACGGAAUGGUUAAAACCUAGGGUAAAGCAACUUAUGUUAAUUCAUUCGGCCUAGUAUAUUUAUAUAUAAAAUUUAUGUAUCAAUCCUUACUAAUAAAUAAAAAUCUUUUUUUUGUCAUACAUAACAUUCUUAUUUAUUUUGUCACAUGUAAUUUUGUGGUUAUUUUAAAUUAAUUUUUAUUUCAUACGUUAUUUUAUGGUUUUUUCAUUUUAUUAAAUUGUAGAUAGUAUUUAUAUUCAAUAAUAAAUUUAUAUCAAUUUCAUUAAUAGACUCUCAUUCUAAUUUCAAAAUUACCAAAUUUAAGAUUCAGUAAUUUUCUUUAUUUAUUUUGUCUAAAUUAUUUAUUUAAAUUUAAAAGAGAAAAAAAAUAACACUUUAAUUUUUAUAAUUCAAUAUUUUCUCAUUUUUUUUAUAAAUUCUUACUUUAAAAUGUUUAGAAUUUUGUAUUUAUUUUUUUUUUUAAAUAAAUUAAUGUAAUAUAUGGGUCUCACACCUAAUCUUGUAAUAUAAGUAAUUAAAUUUAGUUUAAUAUAUACAGGUAGACUAAAAAUACAUAAUAUUAAAAGUAUAGAUGUUUAUCAAACCGCACAAAACCGCAUAAACCUCCCGCAUCAAACCACACUACAUAAUGCGGUUUAAAACCUUCGCAGUGCGGUUUGUGGUUUUUCUAAAAGCUCAAACCACACGUGCGUUGUGGUUUACGGUUUUGGUACGAAAGCGCACAAAACCACACCGCUAACACCUCUAGUUUAAUUCAAUAUUGUAACAUGUAGAUAUUAAGGAAGAAGCUAAUCAAAAUGUAGAUAGGGUCAAAUUCACAAAGAUUUAGUUAUGAAAAUUAUGGAUCGAUCAUGCAUGAUGAUUGGGACAAGACGACUAGCAUUUAAUUUAUUAAUAAUAUUGUUAUUAUAACAAACAUAAAUAAAAGUCGAGAAUGUAAGAAGUAAAACUGUCAAGUUACUCAAAGAAAUAAAAUAAUAUAUACGAAAACAACAGGUGGUGUGAAAACGUCUCCAUGCUUAUGAAGCCAUGCCAAGCAACAUAGUACUUGGUCAUAAAGACAAGAAAACCAUAAUAGUUAAAGAUAUCAAUCAAGUGCCUACAAAUGCCUAUUCCACCUGAUAUUCUAUGUUAUCAUCUGCCUUUAGAUGCAUGCCUGCUAAGUGAGACCAUAUGCUCCAUGUGUGAGUAAAUCCUAUUCGAAGGAAGGUUAUGGAAUCUAAUGCAUGGCUACUGAAACACGAACUUUGAAUUGAGGUGACUAUCAGAAGCAAAAUAGAAUAACAGUCUCUAAUCUUUCGACAAUUAAUAGAAAAAACAUCAUUAUUGGUCCUUAUGGUUACCCAAAAUUUGAAGUUUAGUCCCUGUGGUUUAAAAACCUUAUAGAUGGUUCCUGUGUUUUCAAAACUUUUGAUGGUUGGUCCUUAUUGCUAACUCCGUUAAGUUUUGUCCAUUAACUGAAGGGUAUUUUUGUCAUUUCACUGCCACAGAGACCAUUUAUGAUGUUUUUUCUUAUUUAAAAAAAAGUUAAAUAUAAUUAUUUAACCUCUCUCUCUCUCUCUCUCUCUCUCUCUCUCUCUCUCUCCAUAGAAACAACCAUAUUAAAGUUCAUCCUUAGCUUUUGAUUUUCGAGUUCACAUCAUAAAUUCUUCAUAUUUUUCUUCUUAUUUCUUUCUAUUAUAUUUCAUCCUCCUGAUCCAUAUUUAUAACAUGUCAAACAAUUUAGACUUGAGCUCCACUUCCCCGUUCUCCCUACAAACCCUGCAACAAUGCCCUUACCUCCAUCUCCAAAUCCCUCCUGAUUCUGAAUACAACAACAACCAACACAUUGUUAGCUCUGGCAGCAGAAUUUGAAAUAGAGAGUUGGACGUUCUUGGGGGCUGCCAUAUGCUAAGGACGUGAUUUGGAGAGAUCCAGAGAGAAAACAGUGUGUAAUCGGAAUCUUAUGUACCGGACGAUUGAUCAAUACAUCGUGUGCAUUAAAG
rnacentral:lncRNA from 1 species